rnacentral:sRNA from 1 species
AUUCUGCCCAUGCGGGGAAGGAUGAGAAGCUUCGACUAAGGUUCGACUCGAGCGCCAGCGAGAGAGCGUUG